rnacentral:rRNA from 1 species
CACGUUGUUCUUUAAAUGAGGACUCGUAUCAACGGCAUCACGAGGAUCCUACUGUCUCCCCCCUCUAAUCGGUGAAACUGAUCUCUCCGUGAAGAAGCGGAGAUGUACAUAUAAGACGAGAAGACCCCAUGGAGCUUUAAACCCAACAACACCCGCCCCCCUCCAAAUCCUAUUAUUUACCCGGUGAUUGUUUGUUUGGUUUUAGGUUGGGGUGACCGCGGAGUAUAAGAUAUCCUCCAUGAAAAAAAGCUAACUGCCCUUAUUAGAGAAAGACACUUCCAAAAAAUAAUAAAUUAAUUUUAAAUGAUCCGACAUUCGAUCAACGAACCAAGUUACCCUGGGGAUAACAGCGCAAUCCGUCCCGAGAGCCCCUAUCGACAGGCGGGUUUACGACCUCGAUGUUGGAUCAGGGUAUCCCAGUGGUGCAGCAGCUACUAAAGGUUCGUUUGUUCAACGAUUAAAACCCU